rnacentral:rRNA from 1 species
UACGGGGGGGGCAAGCGUUGUUCGGAAUUACUGGGCGUAAAGGGCUCGUAGGCGGCCAACUAAGUCAGACGUGAAAUCCCUCGGACUUAACCGGGGACUGCGGUCUGAUACUGGAUGGCUUGAGAUUGGGAGAGGGAUGCGGAAUUCCAGGUGUAGCGGUGAAAUGCGCAGAUAUCAGGAGGAACACCGGUGGCGAAGGCAGGUCACUGGGCCGCAACUGACGCUGAGGAGCGAAAGCAUGGGGAGCGAACAGG